rnacentral:rRNA from 1 species
UACGUGGGGUGCAAGCGUUGUUCGGAAUUACUGGGCGUAAAGCGUGUGUAGGCGGCUCGUUAAGUCUGACGUGAAAUCCCUGGGCUUAACCCAGGAACUGCAUCGGAAACUAGCGAGCUUGAGUCCGGGAGAGGGUAGUGGAAUUCCUGGUGUAGAGGUGAAAUUCGUAGAUAUCAGGAGGAACACCGGUGGCGAAGGCGGCUCUCUGGACCGAGACUGACGCUGAGGCGCGAAAGCGUGGGGAGCAAACAGG